CCUACUGUUGCAUUCCACCGUCUUAAGAACGACAACAACAUUUGAGGACUUUGAAAUUUGUUGGUAGCUUUGCUAAUUUCUUUGAUUUUCUCAUUAUGGGUUCGUCGAUGUCAUUAACAGAAGAAGAGAAAACCAUUUUAUUAGAAGCUAAACAACAUGUGAAGGAAAAAGGACUCGAUGGUAUGCGUGAUGUAUACAAAGAUAUGAUGAAAUCAUGGACGGAAGUCUCGUUUAAGUUUGCCAUAACAGGAUCAAAUACCUACCUCAGAUCAUCUUUCUUUAAAGCUCUAUUAAGUUUUGGUGCAGAUGACACAAAUUAUACACAUCUCGAACAUGAUAAUAAGAUAGAACUCUGUGAUCUCCCUGGUAUCGAGACAUUUAAGAAUUUCAAAUCAUUUUGCCAAAGUAUUGGUGGUCUUAACAGCUAUGACGCAUUUCUUAUGUUUUGUAAGUCAAAGCUAACAUGUCAAGAAAAGGAGCUCGCUGAAAAGCUUUCAAAAGAGUUUGAAAUACCUUUCAUUUUUGUGUACAAAAUCGUCGAUGGUAGUUCCAAGAUGGUGGAAGAAAACAAUUCUUUAAAUUGUCCAAAAGAUUUUGUAAAAGAUGGCUCAGACCUCUAUGUCAUUGACAAGAAAAUAAUAGAAAAUGUUCAAAAUUUUAGUACUCUGUGUGAAGAUAUCAUUGGCAAAUUGAUAAAACGUCGAAAUCAGUAUUUUGUACGAUGUUUUAGCGAAGAAAUUUACAAAAACAAACACUUUACUGAAAAAGAUAGACUUUUAGCUGAAGCAAAGUACAGCAUUACAAAACAUGGUGUGAGUGGCCUUAAUGAACUCUACCAAAAGCAAAUUGACUCGUUGAAAAAUACGGAGAUACAUCUUGCCAUAACAGGAGGUAGUGGAACUGGAAAAUCGUCUUUUAUUAACGCAGUGAGAGGACUAAAAGCUCAUCAAAACGGGGCAGCCCAAGUCGACGUAGUAGAGAAAACAAAAGUACCAACUUCGUAUCCUCACCCAAAAAUCAAAGAAAUUAUUUUCUGUGAUUUACCUGGCCUUAGAUCGCCCGAAACGUCGGAUCUCCAAGAAUACUGCGAAAAGAUGGACUUGAAAAGUUACGACGCAAUUCUUAUUUUUGGCAAAACACGGUUCUUUCACCAAGACAGAGAGUUGGCAAAAAAAGUCUCAAAAGAGCUCGGUAAACCUUUCCUUUUCAUCCGCACCAACAUUGAUCACGAACUCAAAAAUGCCGAAGACGACGAAGGAAAGGAGUUUAAAAAAGAAUCUGUCUUAAAGAGAAUGAGAAAAGAUAGUUUGGAAAAUUUGAAAGAUUUAAUUCAUGAUGAAAACAAUAUCUACAUGAUUGACAACAAGUUCACGAGUGAAUAUGAUUUUCAACGUUUGAAAGAAUCUAUCGCUGAUAUUUUAACAAAAGAAGACUUCAUAGCUUCCUUCAAGAGCAAAACAAAAGAAAUCAUUGAAUUUAAAGCCAAAUUCUGUAAAGAAAUAGCGUUGGCUACAAAAGCUCUGCAGAUAUUAACGCUUCUGAAAAGACAAGUCUUUUGCAUGUCCAAAAAGGCCCUGAAAAGAUUCCUGUUGAUCAUCCUCAAAGUCAAAAGAUUAAACUCUGGGAUCUACGUUCAACUAAUUAUUUUUUUUGUUGCUCAUCAUCCUCUUGUUGCUUACCAUCAUCUUGCUGUUUACUAUCAUCCUGUUGCUUACCAUCAUCUUACUUUUUAGCAUCAUCUUGUUGUUCACCAUCAACCUGCUUCUCUAAUAAUUUUUGCUGUGAAACGUUUGAUGCAUUUCUUAUAUUUACAAAAUCAAGAGUAACUGACAAAGAGAAAAAAUGCAGAUGUCAUUUCAAAAAAGCUCGCAAAGCCUUUUUUGUUCGUUUGCACUGACGCUGAAGACGAUGAAAGAAAGAUGUAUGACAACCAAGAAACUCUUUCGAGUAAAAUAAAAACAGAUCGUUUUCAAAAUGUUAAAGAUUUGGUUGAAGAUGAGUCAGACAUUCACGUAAUUGAUACUGAGUAUACGAACAAAAGUUAGACCGUCUGCGUAACAAUAUCAUUUUUAAGUUCGUGAAACGUAGUAAACAUUACUUUUUGCAUUCUUUGAAUGAGGCUUUAUACGUUGCAAAUGCAAAGAAAAAGAAGGAUCUUUUGAAAAAAGCUCAGAAACACGGCACUGCAAAUAUUCAGGACUUUUAUAGCAUGUAUUUAAUUCCCUUGUUGAUAGACGCAGAGAAAAUUUUGCCAUAACAGGAGAUUCUGGUAAGGGAAGUCAUCCUUCAUCAACGCUGUGAGAGGAAUGAAAGCAAACGAAAAAGGAGCAGCGAAAGUUGGUGUUAAAGAAUCAACCUUCGUGGCCGCUAAGUAUUUACUUCUAAAAAACAAAAACAUCAUUUUCUGGGAUCUACCUGGCAUUGGAACACCUACCUACCCCAAUCUUGAAGAAUACAUUAAAAAAGUUGAUGACCUAGAGAAGUAUGACGCAUUUCUCAUUUUUUUCAAAACACGAUUCACUCAACAUGACAAAGAACUGGCUGAGAAUGUUUCAAAAGAGUUAAAAAAGCCUUUCUUUUUUGUUCGUACCAACGUUGAUUGCGAUCUCAAGAAGCCAAAGAAGAUGUAGGACCGCAGUUUGAUGAAGGAUCUGUCUUGGAAAGAAUGAAAAAUGAUUGUUUGAAAAACUUGGAAGAUUUCAUUGACGAUGAGGAACAUAUCCUCAUGAUUGACAACAAGGUUACCGGGCAAUAUGAUUUUCAACGAAUGCAAGAAUCGAUAGCCAAGGCUUUGCCAGUCGAAAAAAAGGCGAGGAGUUACGUUAGUUCUGUGGCUAAUAUAACACAUGCUACCAUAAGAAUUAAGGCCAAAGCUUUAAGAGCUCAUGUUCCAGAUGCAACUGUUUUAUUCGUAAAGGCUGAAUCACAAGUUUUGGUGGAAAUAACUGAAAAGGAAGUCAGUCGAUAUCGUCGUGAAUUUUGGUUAACUUCGGAAUCGGAAAAUCAGCAGAUUUUUGAAAAAGUCCGAAAAGACUUUAAGAAAGAGUCAGUUAAAGAGUCAGAAGUCCAUUGGCGUAUAACUAUCUUUUACAAAAAACCAGCAGUUUUGAAGAAGAAGCUCUGAAGGCUUGCACUACGAAGUCAGAGAUGACAACAACUCACAAGGAUUCAUAAACUAAACUACAAUUAAGAAUCAGUUAUAGUUUGCAAAAUAUUUUUAUUCAAGCAGAAAUUGACCCAUAAUCGUAUGAAUCAACACAGUACAUAGUAACUCAAAAUUUGUUAUAUAGAAGUCAUUUUACAUAACAAUUUAAAAAACGCGCUAGUGAUCCAAUUGAUUUUCAUUGUCAAAUUAGUUUUCUUGAAAUCGAACGAUUACUGUAUACUUGCUAAGUUUUAUUUCUUCAAAAUUAAUUAAUUCAAUUAAUUCAAUUAUUCACCUAUUUGUUAUAGCUUUAUGGAGUUCUACUAUAGACUAUAGUAUUUUUGUUUAAUCUCUGUACAGACCAAGUUCAUCUAGACCGCAUAACUGUCAAACGUGAAUCAUAAAUUAGUUUGGAAGACCUUAUUCACAAAGUAUUAAAACUUAAAUGUGCUAAA